CCUUGUACACACCGCCCGUCAAGCCAUGGAAGCCGGGAGUGCCUGAAGAUGGUGAUCUUAAGAGAAGCUAUCUAAGGCAAAAUCGGUAACUGGGGCU
rnacentral:rRNA from 1 species